rfam:Prevotella marshii DSM 16973 genomic scaffold SCAFFOLD1, whole genome shotgun sequence.
UAAAAACGGGCAAGUCUUACACGGCCAGCUCCCUGUGAAUCCUCCAGGACGGGAACGUAGCAAAGGUAACAGGUUGUAGCGGUGCGAUGUAAGUAGCUUGCCCACCC